UCAAGGGUUGGCUGGAGGAAACCGCCCUCCUCUUUGAGGAAGCGGGCCUGCCCCGCAUGGCGGGCCGGGUUCUGGCCUGGCUCCUGGU
rnacentral:tRNA from 1 species